CCUACGGGUGGCAGCAGUGGGGAAUAUUGGACAAUGGGCGAAAGCCUGAUCCAGCCAUGCCGCGUGUGUGAAGAAGGCCUUCGGGUUGUAAAGCACUUUCAGUGGGGAAGAAAGCCUUGGGGCUAAUACCCUCGAGGAAGGACAUCACCCACAGAAGAAGCACCGGCUAACUCCGUGCCAGCAGCCGCGGUAAUACGGAGGGUGCGAGCGUUAAUCGGAAUUACUGGGCGUAAAGCGCGCGUAGGCGGUCUGAUAAGCCGGUUGUGAAAGCCCCGGGCUCAACCUGGGAACGGCAUCCGGAACUGUCAGGCUAGAGCGCAGGAGAGGAAGGUAGAAUUCCCGGUGUAGCGGUGAAAUGCGUAGAGAUCGGGAGGAAUACCAGUGGCGAAGGCGGCCUUCUGGACUGACACUGACGCUGAGGUGCGAAAGCGUGGGUAGCAAACAGGAUUAGAUACCCUAGUAGUC
rnacentral:rRNA from 1 species